CCUCGAGGAAGUUAGGCUACUAUAUUAGCUAAAACCAAAAGACGAUGAAGCAACAUAAGCUUAAAGUUAUCUUGUAACAGUUAGCGAUAUAUUUUCUUUCACACCCUACCUGUACGGCGGAAGUUUAUCACCGAAUCCGCACCUUACCUGAAGCAGGAAGUAAUUUAUUUAUUUUUAAAUCAGCUGAGCAGCAAAGUCAAGCGAAAGAUAAAUAAAGUACAGUACUGGCAAAAAGGAUCCACAAAAUCAGAACGGUUUAACGUUAUACUGUAAAGGCCUAAUAACUUUAGAGACGUAGCGUUAGCUAGCUAAAGGAGUAACGCCUGUUUUGCUUUACAUGCAACAGGUGCACAGAAUCAUCAUCUGUUUCUAUUGGUCGUGCGUAGCUGUAGCGUUAGUUGAAUAACUAAUUCAAAGCAUGAAGUAAAAAAAAACGUUUGUUUGAGUAAGUACGGUUAACUAGCUAGGUUCUUAAAACAACACAACUUUGCCUUUUGUCGGGUGAUAAUAUAACCCCAUAAAACAACUUGUAACGAUAAAUGCUACCAGAGCUUCUCGAAAUAUUCAGCUAACGUUAGAUAGCUAGCCAACUUCAGUGAGUCAGCUAGCUACUGUCAGUAGUACUAUACUUGUUGUUAGCUAGCUAAUAACGUAAGCUGUUGCGAUUCAUAAACUUAUUUGCUAGCAUAGCAUUAGCAUGUUGUUUUUUGCAUAUUACAACACUAAAUUAGUUUUUCACUUGAAUGGUAAGACUCAUAGCUUAAGUUCAAAGUUAUCAGUUCAACUACUUUUAAAGAUGAAAACAAGUCUUACUGGUACGAAAUCACAGGAGUUGGGUCUUGGACGAUACAGUACUCAGAUGUGUCGCUUUAAAAACUUUUGAUGUCACGUGACGAAGUGUGGGCGUGUUGUCAACAUUCAACAUGGCGUCUCACAGGAGUCGGCUGUUUUGUUUACGGACUCUAUCGUUGAGCAUCUUCUUUUACUGCACGUAUUGCCAUUUUCAACUUGUUCUCGGAAAUGAUGUUGAUAGCUGUAAAAGUCUACGCUUGGGACAGUAUCUUUGCAAAGAACCCCGGAUAGAUGAUGCCACUCAAGAACCUGCGAACUGCAAGGACAUGAUAGCUUGGGUGGAAUGCCUACCUGCUCCGAAUGUCAGCUGCCGCUUGUCCAACGGGACAGAGUUUCGGUUCAGCGGAGAGGAAGUGGGCUUCAACCAGAGCAUCCCCUGCAGGAAUGUGAGCGGUUACUCCUACAAAAUAGCAGUGGCCUUGUCCCUCUUCCUGGGGUGGUUAGGAGCUGAUCGCUUCUACCUGGGAUACCCAGCUUUAGGGCUGCUCAAGUUCUGCACUGUGGGCUUCUGUGGGAUUGGGAGCUUGGUGGAUUUCAUGUUGAUCUCAAUGCAGAUAGUGGGUCCAUCGGAUAAGUCUGACUACAUAGUGGACCACUACGGUGCCAGACUCACACGCCUCUCCAUUACCAACGACACCUAUAGAAGAACCCAGAUCUCACCCUGAGGGUGUGUACACGAGUAUAGCAUGUUAGACACGCCGCACCGGGGUACACUAGUAGCAUGUUAGAGACAACAGGCUUUGGGCGAAAGUGAAAAACAACAACAUGCUGUCUGAAUGCUGUCGUUUUUAAAUUAUGCCCCUCUUUUGGCAUCCUAUUUUUCACCCGACCAGUACAUACGAACUAUUCCGAGUCCACUUCUCCUGUCUGCAUGUACCCCCAAUGUCAGGAGUAGAGCCUGUGAAGCGAGACUUAGUCUCUCCUUGCUUCUUUGUCCUUCAUUCCUUGUCUUCUCCUCAAAAUGCAUUUGAAGAUCAAAUCUGAGGAGAUGAGGAAACAAGGAAAGACUUGAGAUUCACCCGUGGUCACAAGCUCAGGUCCCGGAGGGUUACAGUACAGGCUUUUGUUCCAACACAACAUUAGCCACUCUGUGUAGCUCUCCAGUACCAGUGGGUUGAUGACCACCCGCAUAGAGCUUCAAGUCAUCGUUGUUAUACUCCUAUGAGAAUCUAGAAUCUGCACUGAGAACGGUGUACUGUAAAUAUAAUGUCAUUUGUGGUUUUUGAGUAUGUCUGGCAGCAAGGGAACUAAUUGUACUGUAUGACUGUCUUUUUGCUUUCAUUUGUCAUUUGAGAUUUUUGUAAAUAAAGUGAUCAUUU